UUCAUGUCUUCCAUUGCUUUUCUUAAGGCAUCAGUGGUCAGGUUUUUAUAGAUAUUAUCUUAAUUUUAUCAGUGGGAAUCAUAACUGGGUGUACAAGAAGACAAUUUACCUUUUUAUGAGAUGUUUCUGAUCCUUGUAUUAUUUAUUUACCUGUAGGAAUUUAGGAAUAUUCUUUCUGUUCAUCAUUCUGAAUAUUCAUUUAUCAGUGUCAUGUUUGUCAUAGUGUCCCUCAUUCAUUCAUCAAUGUGUGUCACUCAUUCAUUGGGAAUUAAAAUUAAAAACCCGCACAGUCACAGUACAAGUACCGAAGGGGAAAUAGUUUAUUUGGAGCACAAGGCGCAAGAAAACCAAGAACUUGUCCUUCAACUUCGUCAAAACAAAGCUUUCGAUGCCAAAGCCACAAGACUUCUAUGCGGAACGCAUGAAUAGAUUGCAGUCCAACAGAAACUUUAACGAACUUUAAACAGCUAUAUCAAUUUCCAAAACACUGGUAUUUCAGUAAAACACAAGACAAUGAGUGGAAAGAUCCAAAGAAUAUGCACUGCAAAGGGACCCAAACACAAACGACUUCGGAACAAGGAAGGCUUUUAAUCGAAUCCUUGUCACAUUCAUCUGAAACGUCUGUCAAUUCAAUCGCAGUGGAACUUGACGUUAUUGUCCUUUGGACUUUCUUAUUAUUGCAUUGAUCAAACAACCUAUCAAUUAUCUAUAUGGUAAAUUUAGAUCAUGAUUACUAUAACAUUUCUCAAAUUUUAAUCCAGUCUCCAUGGGGGUGCUGGCUGGCUUACAAUCUGUCAUGUUAAAACGGUCUAACACCCUACGAAUGUAUUCUGACUGAUCUAAAGAAAACAUACCAUUCUUUCGACAUAGUCGCAUACUAAGGAUGUGAUGGGCUGGCCCUAAGGCCUUGGCCACACUAGACGGAAAUUCCGUCGCCGAACUUUCGCGGCGGUCAAUCCGUUCUAUGCGAUACCAGCCACACUGUAUUUCAGUGGCAGAUCAUCAGUCGGCUGCCUGCGCUUAUACGGUGUGGUCGUAAUUCGUGAUGGAUCCGAUAGAAGUGAUAGCUAUUUAUGAGGCAUUAGAAGAAGAAAGAAGAAGAAACCGUAAAUAUUGGGUUCAUCCCCUAAAUACUCUUCGACUAGAAAUUGGGCAAUUUCAUACCCUGUAUAUGCAACUAAGACUUAAUCCAGAUAAAGCAUUUGAAUAUUAUCGUAUGUCCAUACAAUCAUUUGAUGUAUUGCUGAAUUUAACCAAGGACUAUAUUACCAAGGAAAAUACAAAACUUAGAACAGCUGUACCUCCCGAAGAAAGGCUGACCGUUACAUUAAGGUAUUUGUCUACCGGAAUGAAUUUUAAAAGUUUAUCUCACGAUUUUUUGAUGGGACGAUCGACUAUUGCAGAAAUAAUAAAAGAAACUUGUGAAGUAAUUUGGAAAGUACUGCAACCACUUGAAAUGUCUGAGCCAAAUAAGGAAUCGUGGUUAAAAGUGGAAGAAAAAUUCCGUAAAUACGCAAAUUUUCCAAACUGUUUAGGAGCCGUGGAUGGUAAACAUAUAAGAAUAAUUAAUCCUGACAACAGCGGAUCUACCUAUUUUAACUAUAAAAAGUUUUUUUCAAUUGUUCUUAUGGCAGCCGCAGAUUUUCUAAUUAUUGCUUCAUUUUUAUCGAUGUUGGAUCUUUUGGAAAAGAAGCUGAUAGUAAUGUAUUUAGAAGUUCAAAUUUCGGACAGAAACUUUACCAUGACAUGUUAGACCUACCCGAGGAUAAAAUACUCCCAGGUACUACCAGCCCAGCACUACCAUUUGUACUGGUAGCUGACGAGGCUUUCGCUCUACAUAAACAUGUUAUGCGACCCUACCCCAAUAAAACAUUAGACAUAGAAAAACGUACGUUUAACUACCGCCUAUCUCGUGCAAGGCGUUAUGUGGAAUGUGCUUUCGGCAUAUUGAGCAACAAGUGGAGAGUUCUUCACACGGCCAUACUUGUUAACCCGGAUUUUGCUACAAAGAUAGUAAAAACAACAUGUGUUCUUCACAACUUUCUACGGAGACGAGACGGUUUGCACUACAAUGACGAAUUGUUAACUACAUUACCCAACUGUAAUACAUCUAGACCCUGUAAUGCCAUAAACGCGAGAGAUUUAUUUAAAAAGUAUUUUAUGGAAGAAGGUAAACUAGAGUGGCAACACAACUUCACUUAAGUAGGUAAGGUUACUGAUAUAAUCAUUGUUCAGUAGGUUUAUAUGAAUGAUAGUUUCAAUUAGUACCUACAUGCAUACGAAUACUUAUACUUAGAUAUACCUAGGUAUUCGAAAAUUAAUAAAGUGAUAAAUUCACCAAGUUCUUG